rnacentral:rRNA from 1 species
GGCCUGGCUGAGCGGUCUGCCAAUGUGUAUGUACUGCGUUGGUCGGGUCUUUCCUUCUGGAGAGCUGGCAUGCCCUUUACUGGGUGUGUCAAGGAUCCAGGACUUUUACUUUGAAAAAAUUGGAGUGUUUAAAGCAGGCUUUCAAGCUUGAACAUAUUAGCAUGGAAUAAUGAAAUAGGA